rnacentral:lncRNA from 1 species
AAUGUAUCUGAGAAUGUAAACCCUGGGCAGUUCUGACUUGCAAAUUCUCUAAAUUUCAAUGAACAGUAGCUGCAGGACUAUUUUAUUUCAUGAUGCAGCACUCAUUUAUCAGUGAUUAUCUUGAACUUUAUCCCUUUUAGAUUUUAUAGAGUUAACAGUUGAUGGAAUCAGGAUUGUACAGUGUAGGCAGUAUUGCUGGAACUCGUGUAAUGAUUAGCUUAACAACAUACCCUUAAAGUGAACAGCAGAAAUCUGCUACAAAAUUUAUUCCUUCUUUUCAUGCAUCUGUGAGAGGAAAAAGUAAGAAGUACAGAAUAAUUUUGUGAAACGAGGUUUAGAAUUUAUGCUGUACUUUCUCUGUGUAAUUUCUGAGAAGGCAACAUGAAAAUGUCUCUUAAAACUGAGGGGUGGAUUCACGCUUUCUAACUUAGGUUACUGAAGCUUCAGGUACUCAGCCUAAGUGAGGAGGCAGCCUCUCCUCUCAGACUAAAUAUAGGCUCAAUUUAGAGAGAGACAGGCUGCUGUAGAGGGUAAUUUAAAGCAGAAAUACAGUUUUCAGUGCUCUGAGGUCGCAUACUGAAUUUCGAUUCUCUCAUGGUGCUCCUCCUGUAUAUUUGGGCUCUGGAGUGAAACUGGCAGAUCUUCAAUGUGACAAAACCACUACCUCUCCACUGUGUGCACAGGGAGCUUAGGAAAACCAGGCUUGGAUAUAAACUCCAGGCUAUUAGGAGGCUCAGGGAGCUGUGAGGUCUGCGGACAAGUCUUAGUGGUGGAAACUGAGGUAAGAAAGGGUUUGAGGAACUCAUGCUUUGCCCUGUCACUUGUCAAUGGGACCUCUGUCCCACUGAACAAAGGUUAAAAUCACAAUCUCCCUGGACUUUCUUUGCUUCUGCUGUCCUUACAGAAUAAUUUUUUUUUCUUUCCUCCUCCUUUUUCACACUGUAUUUUCUAUCUAGAUUUUCCAUAUAAUGACCACAUAAUGAAUCUCUUUUGUCUCAUACACUACCCUAAUGUAAAAAAGGAUGUUUAGUUCUUACAGAAUUAAGUUCAUAGAGUAGAAACAUGAAGACUAAUCAUAACUAUGUACCUGAUUUUCUACACAAUAUAGGAAGUAACAAAUCCCAUCUAAGGAUGUGUGGGAUUUUCUCAGCAGAGAGAGCUCUUUAGAUAGUGAACAAUUAUC